UGGGGAAUAUUGGACAAUGGGCGCAAGCCUGAUCCAGCCAUGCCGCGUGAGUGAUGAAGGCCCUAGGGUUGUAAAGCUCUUUCGCCAGGGACGCGGUACCUGGAUAAGAAGCCCCGGCUAACUUCGUGCCAGCAGCCGCGGUAAUACGAAGGGGGCUAGCGUUGUUCGGAAUCACUGGGCGUAAAGCGCACGUAGGCGGAUCUUUAAGUCAGAGGUGAAAUCCCAAGGCUCAACCUUGGAACUGCCUUUGAUACUGGGGAUCUUGAGUCCGGGAGAGGUGAGUGGAACUGCGAGUGUAGAGGUGAAAUUCGUAGAUAUUCGCAAGAACACCAGUGGCGAAGGCGGCUCACUGGCCCGGAACUGACGCUGAGGUGCGAAAGCGUGGGGAGCAAACAGGAUUAGAUACCCGGGUAGU
rnacentral:rRNA from 1 species